CGAGGGUGCAAGCGUUAUCCGGAUUCACUGGGUUUAAAGGGUGCGUAGGUGGGCAAGUAAGUCAGUGGUGAAAUCUCCGGGCUUAACCCGGAAACUGCCAUUGAUACUAUUUGUCUUGAAUACUGUGGAGGUCAGCGGAAUAUGUCAUGUAGCGGUGAGAUGCUUAGAUAUGACAUAGAACACCAAUUGCGAAGGCAGCUGGCUACACAAAUAUUGACACUGAGGCACGAAAGCGUGGGGAUCAAACAGGAUUAGAUACCCUGGUAGUCCACGCCCUAAACUAUGGAUACUCGACAUUUGCGAUAAACUGCAAGUGUCUGAGCGAAAGCAUUAAGUAUCCCACCUGGGAAGUACGACCGCAAGAUUG
rnacentral:rRNA from 1 species